CUGAGCUUAAGAGAUCUGCCUGCCUCAGCUUCCCAUAGUGCUGGAAGAUUACAGGCAUGAACCGCCAUGCCCAGUCAAAUGUUAUCAUUCUAAACAAGCUAUAAUAUUUUUCUUAUCACUAAUAUUUCUUCAGACUACAGUGGGAGGAUUUGGGGUGGAAUGAGCAACUUUCAUCUUUACAGAUUUCAGACCAAAAAUAUAGCUUUUUCUUUUUAAUCUAUUUUUUUCCCUCUGUUUUAAUGGUAAAGUUGACAGAGUGUUGAUGUUAUCAUGAAAAGUUCAGAACAGUUUGAUCUGUCACUCUUGUUCACAUUAGAGAUUAUUAUGUUCCAGAAUCAUAUUUCUAAAAUCCAAGAUGAAAUAUUUUUUGGGAGUCAUUCUAUAUUGAUUUCAGCUGUGAAUGAAGUAAAAGUGUUGUGGUUUCUAUCUCAAUUUAAUCAACCACUCUGUCUUGAGAGAAGUGAGAUAUCCUACCCUUUAUGUUUCACCUCAAAUUUCAUCUCUGCGAAUUCUUGUAUAACCAGAAGUUGGUUUCAUACUCAUGAUCACCAUUAUUACUAGUUCAUUUAAUACUGUUCAACUAAACGUCUUGCGGUGCCCUUACUGAACUAUUUAGCCAUUCAUUCCAAAAAUAAUCUAUGGGAAGAGAUAAUAUUUGCUGAGCAUUUACUGUGUGUUGGGCACUGUGCUAAGCACUUUGCAAAUAUCAUCUCCUUUAAUCCUAUUUUGAUUGCUUCUUUUCAGGGAUCUGGAGGUUAUAUUCUGCUUUACCAUGAUUUGAACCAGCAGGCUAUAACUGUUUAUGAGAAGGAAAUGCAUUUCAUUUCCCUGAAGCCUUGGGGUUACCCUGCUGCUUUACCUCUGUGGAUAGUAAGAAAGUGGAGAUAAGGACAAAGGCCAUGUAGCAGGUGUAUGGAAGGGAAAAUUGCUGGGUUUUUUAGCGGUACCAGGAACUGACUGCUUUAACCUCCAGCUGAGGUUCUUGGAAAACCUUGGAGUGAAGAAAGAUCAGGGAAAUAAAAGUUGUGAGUGCCUCCUAAGAAUCAUGUUUAGUAAUAUAUGCUUUGGUAUAUUUCAUCCUCACUUUACUAUGUGAAAUUUGUCUUAUUACCUCUGUCUUCAGAGAAACAUGAAGCUCAGACAAGUCAUAUGGCUAAUGCAUGUUGCUAUGGUUUGAAUAUUUGUCCCCUUCAAAAUUCAUGUUGAAAUUUAAUCUCCAAUGUGGUAGUACUGAGAGGUGGGCCUGUAAGAGGUGAUUGGGUCAUGAGGGCUCUGCCCUCAUAAAUGGAUUAAUCCAUUCAUUAGUUAAUGGUUUAAUGGGUUAUCAUGGGAAUAAGAUUAGUGGCUUGAUAAGAAGGAGAAGAGAAAAAUGAGCUAGCACCUUGCUAUGUGAUGUCCUUUGUUAACUUGGGAAUCUGCAGAGAGUCCCCACCAGCAAGAAAGCCUUCACAAGAUGCAGCCCCUUGACCGUGGACUUCUCAGCCUCCAUAACUGUAAGAAAUAAAUUUCUUUUCUUUAUUAAUUACCCAUUUUCAGGUACUCUUAUAAGCAGCAGAAAAUGGACUAACAUAUGUGUGAAGCUGGGGCUUGAACUAGGCCUGUUAGCCUUCAGAAAUAACCUUUUUUCCAUUGCUUCACAAUGAAAAGGAAAGAGAAGAAAAGGCAUGGUGGGGAGGAGAAUUGUGCAUUUACAAAAGCAACAUGAAUGUCAGAAAUUAAGAGGUUAAGACUGACAGAACCUGAUCAGAAUUCCUGACUUAGAUGCUGGAUUGAUAGGUAGCUGAGUUAAUAACCUGAUGAUAGGAAAAAUCACAUGUUGGGAAGCAAAUAGAGAAAUAAAAAAUAAUAGAUAUACUCAAUUUACAGCUAAAAUAAUCCCGUUUCAAUUGAUUGUUUUAGACUGUGAGCCACAUUCUUUUAUAAUAUAUUCUAUAAACCAUUUUGGGCAGCCGAUAAUUUUUUUUUCAAAAUGAGUUUCAGGUUUUUUUGAGUUUUUUUUCUAACUGACUUUAAAAGUUUAAUCACAUUCAGGUUGAAUAUAAUGUCUAGGGAAAAAAAAAGUUUAAUCACAUAUAGCCAGUUUCUAAAAAUUAUUUUUGCCCUUUGCAAAACAAGUCUUUUUAGGGAGGGAGACUCCUCCUAUCAUAAUUUAGGGUCUUUAAGUCAGAGCAAUGAGAAAUCAUCUUAAUUAAGGAAAACCCUUUAGUCUUCCCCAACAGCUGGUUUGCUUGCAAGCAGGAAAGACUAAAAAUGAAUCAGAGAAAAAGGGUUUGCACAAUUUCUAAAAUAACCUGAUAUAUUUAGAAGUGUGACUCUGUGUGUGUUUUCUUGUGCAAAUCUAGAAAACCAGUGAGCUUGUGUGAGUUUUAACUAUGUUGUAAUUUUCAGAAUCUUCAAGCAUCACAUAAAAUACACAGCAUAGUUCUGCAGCUCUUUAAUGUUCUGUUAUGCUUGGUUGAGAGAUUUGUAUUGGCAUAACAAUGUAUAAAAGUAAACAUUUAAUAUUUUAGAUUUAUAAACUGCAGUUGCUGUAUGUACAAACAUUGUUAAAAGGUACAUGAUAGUGUGUUAGAUAUUUCAGGUAUGAUACCCUGUGGCUAUCAGUGAGAAACAGUACGCUAGAGAAGUGCUAUUUAGACAGGUAUGUGUAUCCUUUAUCCCCUCCAUAUAUGUGAUGGUUUUUGGAGGUUUGUCCAUAGAACAACAGGUGGUGCCUAAUGUUAAAAGCCUAAAAGCAGUUACUAUGGAAACCAGAUGCAAAUUUAGAUCUGUGCAUCCACUCUUCACUGCAUACAGAAAAAAAAUUCUAUAAUAGAAAUGAAAAAACUGAAAUAUGAUUCACAUCCAUGUCUUCUGAGUCUUAAAUGUCUGCCAAAUACUGAAUGUUGAGUAAGCUACAACUUCUCAGACUGAACUUCCAAUAAAAUCUAUAAAAAUGAUGAAGUCAGAGAACGUUUCAAAAUGUUCUGUAUAUUUCUUCAUUUGUCAAAAUUCCCUUUUCUAAAUAUAGAUCUAAAAUAAUAGCAAAUCUAUUUUUGGACUAUGUAAAAUCUAUAAAUGUAUAGAUUAAAAAAGAUUUAAGAUACUAAGUGCUUAUUAUAUAUAAUUUACAAAGUGCUGAAAAGUAAAAUGAAAACAAGUCAAUCAUAGUCCCAAGACACAAACAAUUUUUAAUAUAAUUAUUUCAUAUAUUUGUGAUCAUGCACACAUACUGUAAAUACAUGCUGUGUUCUGUUUUUUUUUUUUUUUUUUUUCAUUUAACAUAACAUCAUAAGCCAACAUAUUAAAAAUGGUCACUGGCCAUAACUUUAAUGACAGCACAAUAUAUGAUUCUAUAGAUAGAUGUUAGGUACUUCAUCUUCCCAGUUAUGUGUUUGACAAAUUAGGAGUUGGAGCUUUUUUGUCAUUAUAUUUAACACUACAAUGACUGUGUUUGUGCAUAAGUGUUAUUCACAUUUUAGAUAUAUGCCAGUAAGUAGAAUAGCUGGGUAAAGAAUACAAAUUCAGAUUAAUGUAUAUUCCUUUCUUAUAUAUAAUAGAUAUAGAGUAUAUAUAUAAUACACACACACACACACACGGAGAGAGACAGAAAAAAAAAAAAAACAGAAACUUUUUCAAUUACAAAAGCCAGAAACCCAAUUUAAACCUAGGGGAUGAGGUAGGAGAAAUUUUUUGGUCCAUAUAACUCAAAGACCAAGGAUAAGGCCUGACUCUAGGUACAGUUUGACCCAAGGGUUUAAACAAUGUUAAUACCAAUAAUAGUAAACUUUCUUGAACACUUUCUACAUGUCAGGAACUGUUAAGUACUUUGUAUAAUUAACUCAUUUAACUUUCACAGCAUUCUAUGAAGAAAAUACAACUGUGAUUCCUAUUUUACAGCUUUCUCUCUAUCUCUUGUUUCUGCUCUCCUCUAUAUGGCUUCAGUCCCAGUCAGGUUCUCUCUGUCUAGCUGCUCCAGAUUCAUUCUCUCAGACCAAAGUCCACAAGAUGACUCUUGCCUCUUUUCCAGUUGCUCAGACAAAAGUUUCAAAUUAACUCUGGUCCUGCCUCCUAGCUUGGCCUUGGCCCCAUACUUGGCCCCAUUACUAGAACAUGCGACCCUGAUAGGCCACUCCUGAGCUAAACUAUUUCUCACCCCUGGAGCUGGGAAUGGAGUUAGCAGCCUCAAAGUACAUGACCUUACGGAUGAAAUAACUUACCCAUAGAUAAACCAAGUACUGUUUUCAAAAGCAGAGUAAAUAGAAAACAGAUGGUCACUUCCACUACAGCAACAAAUUCCACUACAAUGAGGACUCAGAAAUUUUUGGUUGCAUUUAGAGACGAGAACAGUGAAACAAGCUAAUUGGAUGAAAAAUAUCUUUCUAGUUCAAGUUUCUGAGGACUAGCAAUCAUUACUUUUUCAGAUUCACAAUACAGAGGAAUAGUUUUAAAUAGUCUCAAAGAACUGUUUAGAUGGCAGCCACACCUUAAAUAAAUGUGCUCAUUCUACAUGCAAAUCUAAAUAUACAUGUAAAUGAAGAAAUUUGAAGAAACCCUAGUGGAUUCGCUCUUUCCAGCUUAAAGCACACCCCAUUAUUAUCCUAAGCAUAUGGGUAUGGUCCAAGAAACUAUCUAGAUAGAGGUAAUUUUUCCCAACAAUAUGACAAAAUAUGAGGUGCCUUUGCUGCUGUGUCAGUGAUUGGGAUGUGAUAUAGACUAUUAUCUAUUCUACAGCUAGAAAAUCAGCCACAAGAACAAUGGCUGCAGUAUCUUAUUACAUUCACCAAGUAUGUCUGUUUAUUAAUCUUGAUGUUGUUUGCUAUGUAAUGGAGGUAAUGCAGACAGGGGGAAAAAUGUCUGAGUUGUACAUGGAUUGCUAUGGAAACAGCAACUGACCAAUCAAUGGAGAGUAGUCAGAACAUAUGUCUCCUCUCCUCUGCAGUCCUGAUGAAUUGAUGCCCUGAUAACUGCAAUCCUUUUGGCUCUGGUGCCACUAGUAGCAACAGUUUUUUGACAUCUAAAUAUAUGACAUACACCUGUUAUUUAAAAAUCAGAUGUAUAAAUGAUUAGUCUUAAAAUAUUCAACCUCUCUGUACAAGCACUCUCACAGGCAGUUAUUUCUCCCUCCAAAGUAUUUUCUAAAUUUCUCCUGCAUCCAUCACUCCUAAUCCUUUUAUUCACUAUUUCUUCACACCAUCUAGCUCACUUGCCUUCCCUCCCCUUUGCUAUCCCAAACCUCCUUAGUCUAGCAGCAAAUAGUAUUUUCCUCAACAUUGAUAAAUAUAAAUCAACAUGAGUCAAUUUAAAACUUUGUCCAAUUUUAGAGCUAAUUUUUUAAAGUAAUUGAAAAGCAUAUUCAGAACUACAAGAGUAUUCAACCACCAGACACAUGAAAAAAAGCAAUUUCAUAUUUCUCUAUUGAGUCCAGGAAAUAUAAACAGAUCUGUUUCUCAGAAAAGCUCAAGAAAAAUGUGAAGAAAUAAAAUAAAGCCCUUAGAAGCAUAGAUUAAAUUUAAAAAGAAUAAAUUACAUUUGACAAUAAUCUGCCAAUUGUUUAGACUAGUCACAUUGAUUAGAAAACGUGGUUGUAGGUUUCUCUGGGGUAGUGAACCCUUGAUCUGCAUAAAACUUCAGUCUCUUUUAGCCUUAAAUAAAUUGGGAGAGUGGAGAUGGGGGAGAAAAUGUUAUCUACAAUAGCUUCAGUGAGCAGGAAGGGAUGUGUGCCAUAAUGAUAAAGACAAAAUAGGGCCUUCUGGUCUUUGCUAUUGUCAUUGCAUAAACAGAUUUAAAGGACUGACUUCCAUUGAGCAGAUUGAACAAUAAAUAAUGGCUGCUGACAUUUAAACCUAUCUCAAGAUCACACAGUAAAUCUGUGAGGAUGACUGAGCACAAGUCUUAGAAUCAUUUAAUAUCCAACUGAUUCACUGGUAGAACAAUGGGCUGAUUUGAUAAUAUGGUGAUGUUCUUAUUAUCCAUGCUCACGGAAGAAAUAAGCGUUCUUCAAAACAAUUCUCUUUGUAUAUACACUGAGGCUUUGAAGAAACGUCCAAUACUCGUCUUCAUGCCUUUUUCGGGAGUUAUUCUGGGAGGUUGGAAUCAUUAGUAAACAAUGAAAGAUUUCCUGACUUCAUGAGGUAUACAUUCUAGCAGAGGAAGCAAACAACAGAAAUAAACAGAUUAAGCAAAUUAACUUUAUAGUAUGCUAGAAAGUAAAUGUUCUUGUUAAAGUGACUGGUAACCUCUUAAUUACUAACACCUCACCUUUCUUGCUUUCCUCUGAGCAUUUGGUAUUGUUGAAUCUAUCCUUAUUUUUUAUCUUUCAUCUCAUAGAUGGGCAAAUGUUUGGGGAGUACCUACUACACUAAACUCUAGGCAUUGUGCUGGGUGCUGGGGAUACAGCAGAGCUUGUGGCAUGUUGCAGCUACCCCCUUAUCUUCUAUCAGUCCUUCCUCUUUUCUAAUGCCACUGAGGGCCUCCCUGUUUAGCAAGCCCCUUUUUUUCUGUUUGCUCCAUAAAUAUUAUAAUUUUCUUUCUAUAUUUUGUCCAUAGUCCUCUUAGAUCCAUAUGCUUUAUUUGUGAUCUCACUGACUUCUGAGACUUCAACUGUCAUAAAUGUGAUAAUGACUCUAUCUUUGCAUCAUAUCACAAUAAUCCAUUCAUUUAUUCCUUUAAUAAAUAUAUAAUGAGCAUUUACUCUUUUCUAAGCAUUAUCCUGGGGAAUUCAAGAAUACAUAAAAAGGACAUGGUCUUUGCCCUUAUGGAGAUUACAGUCUAGUGGAGGAGACAGACAAAAACCAACUGAACAAGAAAAUGAAUGAAAAUGAUUAUACAUUAUAACAGUUUUCAUGCAUGAAACAAACAAGGGAAGAAGAAUAAGAAUAUAGGAAAUCUGCUACUAGAUAGGAUGGUCAGAAUAGACUCUGUGGAAGGCACAUUUGGGCAUAAAUUAAAUGAUAAACAUAAAACAACUUUGUUGAGAGUCUUCAGAGGAAGACUAUCCUAGGUGAAGGGAAUAGCAUAAGCUAAGGUGCUGAGGUAGGAAAAUAUUGCUGACCUUUGUGACUGGAUGAAAAUGAACUUGGGAGAGAGUACUGUGAUAUUACUUUGGAGAAAAACAUAAUAGUGUGAUGAUGCAGGAUCUUGAAGUCCUGAAAAAUAAUUUGGAUUCUUUUCUAGGUAGAUAUGGAAGGAACUGAAUUAUUCUAAGCAAGGGAUUGACAUAAUAUAAUUCACUUCUUUAUUAUUAUUCCUACCACUAAGAGGAAAGUGGAAUUGCUGAUCCCUUAAGACGCUGUUGGAGUUCAGACAAGGGAUCUGGUGGAUUUAACAUAAAUGUUUCAGUAUAAGUGAUAGGACUUUAUUUUCUUGGUUGGAGUGUGGUAGUUGGGAAAACUGAAAGAAUCAGAAAUGACUCAUAAGUAUCUGGCCUGAGCAAAUGGGUAACCCACUUGAUGAAUUAUUGCCACAAUUUUGUUUUUCUACUGACCACCAGGCUCUUUCUCUCCAGUUCAUCUUUUACCAUGCAGAAAGAGAGAUUUGGCUCACAGACAUAAUUUGAUUCUUUCUGUCUCCUGUUCAAAAGUCCCAUUUGAUUACCCAAAGCGUAUAGUUUUAAAUAUACAAAUAUGUUGAAUUGGGAUUCAACCUAUUUUCUGGCCUCACUCUGCUGCUGCCCUCCAUACACUGAGUUGUUCCUUUCACAGUGAGUCUCAUGCCAUUCUUUAGAUGCCACCAUCACAUUUCUCACACAUUUUUUUCUUUUGCCCAAGAUCUGGAAUGCUCUUCAUCCUCUUCGGCUCCUGAAAAACUCCGAUUGACUUUUCAGGACCCUGGCCCAGUGUUUUUUUCUUAAGGGACUUUCCCUGACUUCUUUAGAUAGGGUGACUUCUUUGCUAGAGCAUUUACUGCAUUUUGUAGUUUGCCAGUUCAUAUAUCUGUUUAUCUUGUUAGACCUGCAUUUCUCAAAGCAUGAUGAUAAGACCACUUGCAUUAGAAUCUCCUGAGAUAUUUAUUAAAAAUGUAUUUUCCUGGCUCAUUCUCAUUCUCUUUGCAUCAGAAUCUUUCUGGGUGGAUCCUGAGAAUCUCUACUUUAGUCAGUUAUUCAAGUGAUUCUUAUAUAUACUAACUCCAAGAAUCACUGUGGUGGGUUUUCCCUCAAUGGCAGGGCCCUAUCUUAUGCUUCUCUUGUUCUCCACCACUUAACACACAGGACAUGUUCAAAAGAUGUCUUUGGAAUGGAUACUGAUUUCAAACUAAUAUAUAUUAUUUAUCUAACAUACCAAUUAUUCAUUCAACACAUAAUUAACUCUGAUUAGUACUAUAUUAUUAGCAAGUUUCUAACAUUCUGGUUUUUCAUUCAUACUGUGUGAAGGUUUUUUAAAAAGCCAUAUGAUACAGCACUGCAAGAGAAAAUCAGACAUUUAUUCCUUCACACAAUCUUAAAAACAGAAAAAAAAUACAAACCUCAAUUUCUCCUUAGAAAUAAUGUUGUCUAUAAUGUUAUCCAAGAUAUUCACAAACAAGAGACAGAAAUAAUUCAAUAAAAUGUUUGUAACAAGUACACAUGUCCAGAAAACUCACUGAAAGCUAACUGUCCCCUAGAACGGAGCACACCACAGUGAACUCUCAAGAUUACAAUUAAACAGGCAAGUGAAAUUUGAUUUGUCUCUUCUUACUUGUCAGUGCUCAUAUAUGUAUGUUCCAUAACACUUUUCUCUGAGAGCAUUCUUUGGUUAUUCAUCAUUUCUUACUAAAAAAUGAUGACUCUCAUAAACUUCGAAGGUGUAAGUCCUCAUAUUGCUUUUCUUGGAUUACCUUUGGCUUGGACCAACUCUGCACCAGGAUCCCUGCCCUAGUUUUCCUGCCCAGCCAAGGCUCCCAUGCCUCCCCUGCCUCUUACUUCAUACCUGUUCAUACUUCAUAGCUGUCUUCAGCGACUUUAUUCCACACUUAUGCAGCUGAAUUCCUGAACAAUGCAGAGUGGCUGAGAAAGCUGAGGUUAAAGGCUAUGGGGAAAAGGCUGAUCUAUAGAGUAUGGGAGAUCCAAGUCCAAGAUGGCCUAGGGGAGAGGACAGACCACAGUAAGAGUGGAAAAAGUAUCUUCUGCCUCAGGACAUCUUGAAACAAUGGUUAAGCUCACAAGGAGCUAAGAUAAAGGAUACAUGGAGAGGCAGGACUUGGGCAUCAUGUUAUUAAGAUGAAAAUUCAUUUUCUAGUUGACUACUGGAAUCAAUCAAUUAUGUAUCAGGUAAAAUACACAGCAGCCACUAAAAAUACACAUAUGUUCAGUCCCUCAGGAGAGAAAUGCCCAUGAGCCCAAAUUCUAUUUGCAUAAGAAGAUAAAUAGUAUCAAUAUAUCAAUGAAAUUUUUAGCAUGAUAAAAUUGUCCUCAAAGAUUCCAGCAUCUCCUUUCCAUCUUCCCUUCCUUCUCAUUCUAUGUGAAGCUCUAUGAAUCUAGGAUCUUCCUGCUGUUUUUCAACCUAGGAAGGUUAAAAAGUAGGAAGACUGCUGUUCAUUACCUUAGACAAAUAAAGUAGUUACCAAGGCCACUAACAUGAGUCUCCAAAUCUAAUAUCAGUGGAGAGGCAAGAAGGUUCUCACUGAAAACAACACCAACCAAAAGUCUCUCUCACCUGACUAGUAUUGGCUGAAAUUCUGGCAGAAAACACAGAACUACUUUUUUGCACAAGUAGUAUUAAAAUCAUUGCAAACAAUGAAAAUAGGAAGGAAGAAUGAUAACCUACUAAAUUCCUGACAGUGAGUAGGUAUACUCAUAAAUUAUUCAUGUAUUUUCAGUCAAAAUACAAUGUACAUAUUUUAUUCCCAAAUGUAUGUGGAAGAAAGUUAGAUUCAAAUAGAAAUUGCGCACAUAGGCUUUUCUUUCGUUGAGGGACUGAACAUAUUUGUGUUUUUAGUGACUACUAUAUAUUACCUGAUAUCGAAUUGAUUGAUUUCAAUCAGGCACUGUUUACUCAAUUGAUUGCAAUUUACUGAAAGUGAAUUUUAAUGUUGGAUCCCAUUUUCUGCUGGUUUCUACUUUUAAAUGAAAUCCUUGAUCUUAUGGUUUUUCAGCCUAUGCAGUGAAAUUCUGACCCAGGCUUUAGUUACCAGGGAUCUAGUGAUCCUAAACCCAAUCUAAUAACUAAAGGGAGAGAUUGGAAAUAGUGGGUUACUGUGAGCCGUGAAAACAGCUGGAUAACCAGCUGGAUAGUUCUCACUUAAUUAGGGUGGUUUAUUGCUUUAUUAGAUUAAUAACCUUAGAAUCUUCUUGCAAAAGUAUCUGGGGUUAAGAUUUUCCUUAUACGACAUGGUACUCAAAAGAAAAAAAUACCACAAUUGUACUUUACUUGUUAUUUGAUAAAUACUCAUUAGAGACCUAGAAUUUUAUUUCUGGACAUACAAUAGUUCACAAGUAGAAAAAAUUCACAGCUCUCAUAGAACCUACGUCCUAGAGGAGGGAUAAUAAACAAAGCAAAAAUAAUAAAUAGUAUCAGAUAAUGACAAAUACCAUGAAGGGGGAAAAAAAGCAGGAGAUGGAAAUGGAGAGGUCAGGGGUUACAAUUUGACAUUGGCCAGAGAAGUCCUAAGAAGGUGGCAUGGAAAAUAAGAGCAAAAAGAGG